rnacentral:lncRNA from 1 species
GUGAAGGUGUUUCUGGAAAAGAUUAAUAUUUGAAUCAGUAGACUGAGUAAAGAAGAUCUGCCCUAAACAAUGUAGGUGGCCACAUCAACAAAUAUUGUGAAAGAGUUGGUUGAGAUAUAUAUAAACACUUGAAGAAGGGGUAAUGGACAAGAUAAGUGCAGCAUUCCUAAAAGAAAUUGCAGAGAAAAAAACAGCUAAAAUCUUCAUUUCCCAGACUUCCAUGUACGAGGGCUUCAGGUGUGUUUUAGGAUCUACUAAACGUAUGCAUUCACUGAGAAAUGUGGAAGUGAGUAAGAAGGAGGUGGAGUAUGAGGCAUCCAUUUUCAGAUGGAGAUCACAGUGGAAGUAAUGUGGCCCAGGAAAAACCACUGGCCACAGUGGGAAUGGCAGUUUUCCAGACUGUGACAAAGUGAGUGCCAUGGUCAUAUCUUUGUGUUUCAGUAUUUCUCUGCAGAAA